UAUCGUUUAUUUGAUAGUACCUUACUACUUGGAUAACCGUGGUAAUUCUAGAGCUAAUACAUGCUAAAAACCCCAACUUCGGGAGGGGUGUAUUUAUUAGAUAAAAAACCAAUGCCCUUCGGGGCUCCUUGGUGAUUCAUAAUAACUUCUCAGAUCGCAUGGCCUUGCGCCGGCGACGGUUCAUUCAAAUUUCUGCCCUAUCAACUUUCGAUGGUAAGGUAUUGGCUUACCAUGGUUUCAACGGGUAACGGGGAAUUAGGGUUCGAUUCCGGAGAGGGAGCCUGAGAAACGGCUACCACAUCCAAGGAAGGCAGCAGGCGCGCAAAUUACCCAAUCCCGACACGGGGAGGUAGUGACAAUAAAUACUGAUACAGGGCUCUUUAGGGUCUUGUAAUUGGAAUGAGUACAAUUUAAACCUCUUAACGAGGAACAAUUGGAGGGCAAGUCUGGUGCCAGCAGCCGCGGUAAUUCCAGCUCCAAUAGCGUAUAUUAAAGUUGUUGCAGUUAAAAAGCUCGUAGUUGAACCUUUGGCCUGGCUGGCGGGUCCGCCUCACCGCGUGCACUCGUCCGGCCGGGCCUUUUCUUCUGGAGAACCGCAUGCCCUUCACUGGGUGUGUUGGGGACCAGGACUUUUACUUUGAAAAAAUUAGAGUGUUCAAAGCAGGCCUUUGCUCGAAUACGUUAGCAUGGAAUAAUAGAAUAGGACGUGCGGUCCUAUUUUGUUGGUUUCUAGGACCGCCGUAAUGAUUAAUAGGGACAGUCGGGGGCAUCAGUAUUCAAUUGUCAGAGGUGAAAUUCUUGGAUUUAUUGAAGACUAACUACUGCGAAAGCAUUUGCCAAGGAUGUUUUCAUUAAUCAGUGAACGAAAGUUAGGGGAUCGAAGACGAUCAGAUACCGUCGUAGUCUUAACCAUAAACUAUGCCGACUAGGGAUCGGGCGGUGUUACUAUUUUGACCCGCUCGGCACCUUACGAGAAAUCAAAGUGUUUGGGU
rnacentral:rRNA from 1 species